CAAUACAUGCUCAUUAACUUUACUCAAAAGGUCAAGGAUCUGUACAUAUAGUUAGUAAAGGAUUCAAGAAAAGGAUAAAUUCCUGAACAAAAGCAAACAACAAUUACAGUAAUGAGAGUAGAUUUCUAUUACAGCACAGAAGAUUUAAACUGACAUGUCGUGGCAUCUCAUUUAUUUCCAACUUUACAAUGCAGUUGAGAUAGACAUUUCUCAAUUCACCACGCUUAUUCUAUAAACACCUUGAUAAUGCUUUUGCAUUCAAUUUUUAACUCACCUUAUCACCUUCACCCUUCUUACCGAUAAUUUUGGCAAUGUAGACGUGAGUACUAGCAGGGAAACUCAUAAUUCUUUAACAACUAUAUAACUUAUUGUCAAAUGCUUUUGGGCAGUUAAUUCGUAUGAAGUAGUAUAUUUGUAGUCAGUCACGUGACGGGUUGCAUAGAAAAUGAAAGAAUGCGAUCGGGUAAAUCGCGGACUUGAUGUCAAACCAACCAAACUAGGUAUUAAAGUAUUCAUAAUUUUAAGCAAAAGGUUCCAUAAUUACGGAUAGAUUACGAUAGGAAUGCAAAAAUAACCUUGAUUAUGCUACUGUUCUCCAACGUGUCGAACAAACACUUCUUGACGAUCAAUAGAAUUAUUAUAUAAUAUAGUUGUAAUUGGUCAUAUAAAAAUUUGAGAAUUGACCUGUCGACCUUGACAAGUCUACGUAUUCUACGAAGUUCCAUAAUUUUUAUAUGAACAAAGUCUACAUAGUACAGCAACUAGUUUCGGUCAGUCAACCGUUCGUAAAUUUGAGAGCUUUCAUCAGCAAUAUCAUAAGUCUAAGACCACUGGUUUCAAAUUUAUCCAAAUAGUUUGUAAAUUAAUGCAUCCAAAAAGUGUACUGUUCAAAGACAUUACUUUUGUUAAACACAAUCGCUAUGCUACUACUCCCUUCGCUUACUCCGC